UACGGAGGGUGCAAGCGUUAUCCGGAUUCACUGGGUUUAAAGGGAGCGUAGGUGGGCUGGUAAGUCAGUGGUGAAAUCUCCGGGCUUAACCCGGAAAUUGCCGUUGAUACUAUAUAUCUUGAAUGCUGUGGAGGUAAGCAGAAUAUGUCAUGUAGCGGUGAAAUGCUUAGAUAUGACAUAGAAUACCUAUUGCGAAGGCAGCUUACUACGCAGAUAUUGACGCUCAUGCACGAAAGCGUGGGGAUCAAACAGG
rnacentral:rRNA from 1 species